GAUGAACGCUGGCGGCGUGCUUAACACAUGCAAGUCGAACGGAAAGGCCAGUGCUUGCCCUGGUACUCGAGUGGCGAACGGGUGAGUAACACGUGGGUGAUCUGCCCUGCACUUCGGGAUAAGCCUGGGAAACUGGGUCUAAUACCGGAUAGGACAAUGGUUUGGAUGCCGUUGUGGAAAGUUUUUUCGGUGUGGGAUGAGCUCGCGGCCUAUCAGCUUGUUGGUGGGGUAAUGGCCUACCAAGGCGUCGACGGGUAGCCGGCCUGAGAGGGUGUACGGCCACAUUGGGACUGAGAUACGGCCCAGACUCCUACGGGAGGCAGAAGUGGGGAAUAUUGCACAAUGGGCGCAAGCCUGAUGCAGCGACGCCGCGUGGGGGAUGGCGGCCUUCGGGUUGUAAACUCCUUUCGCUAGGGACGAAGCGUAUUUGUGACGGUACCUGGAGAAGAAGCACCGGCUAACUACGUG
rnacentral:rRNA from 1 species